GGAUAACCUGCCCUUGGGACCGGCAUAACCCCGGGAAACUGGGGAUAAUUCCGGAUAACGCAUAUUUGCUGGAAUGCUUUAUGCGUCAAAAGGAUUCGUCUGCCCAAGGAUGGGUCUGCGGCCUAUCAGGUAGUAGUGGGUGUAAUGUACCUACUAGCCAGCGACGGGUACGGGUUGUGAGAGCAAGAGCCCGGAGAUGGAUUCUGAGACAUGAAUCCAGGCCCUACGGGGCGCAGCAGGCGCGAAAACUUUACAAUGCGGGAAACCGUGAUAAGGGGACACCGAGUGCCAGCAUCAUAUGCUGGCUGUCCGGAUGUGUAAAAUACAUCCGUUGGCAAGGGCCGGGCAAGACCGGUGCCAGCCGCCGCGGUAACACCGGCGGCCCGAGUGGUGAUCGUGAUUAUUGGGUCUAAAGGGUCCGUAGCCGGUUUGGUCAGUCCUCCGGGAAAUCUGAUAGCUCAACUAUUAGGCUUUCGGGGGAUACUGCCAGACUUGGAACCGGGAGAGGUAAGAGGUACCACAGGGGUAGGAGUGAAAUCUUGUAAUCCCUGUGGGACCACCUGUGGCGAAGGCGUCUUACCAGAACGGGUUCGACGGUGAGGGACGAAAGCUGGGGGCACGAACCGGAUUAGAUACCCGGGUAGUCCCAGCCGUAAACGAUGCUCGCUAGGUGUCAGGCAUGGCGCGACCGUGUCUGGUGCCGCAGGGAAGCCGUGAAGCGAGCCACCUGGGAAGUACGGCCGCAAGGCUGAAACU
rnacentral:rRNA from 1 species